AUACAUGCAAGUAGAACGCACAGGAUGCACCGUAGUUUACUACACCGUAUUCUGUGAGUUGCGAACGGGUGAGUAACGCGUAGGUAACCUGCCUGGUAGCGGGGGAUAACUAUUGGAAACGAUAGCUAAUACCGCAUAAGAACAUUUACUGCAUGGUAGAUGUUUAAAAGGUGCAAAUGCAUCACUACCAGAUGGACCUGCGUUGUAUUAGCUAGUAGGUGAGGUAACGGCUCACCUAGGCGACGAUACAUAGCCGACCUGAGAGGGUGAUCGGCCACACUGGGACUGAGACACGGCCCAGACUCCUACGGGAGGCAGCAGUAGGGAAUCUUCGGCAAUGGGGGGAACCCUGACCGAGCAACGCCGCGUGAGUGAAGAAGGUUUUCGGAUCGUAAAGCUCUGUUGUUAAGGAAGAACGAGUGUGAGAAUGGAAAGUUCAUACUGUGACGGUACUUAACCAGAAAGGGACGGCUAACUACGUGCCAGCAGCCGCGGUAAUACGUAGGUCCCGAGCGUUGUCCGGAUUUAUUGGGCGUAAAGCGAGCGCAGGCGGUUAGAUAAGUCUGAAGUUAAAGGCAGUGGCUCAACCAUUGUAGGCUUUGGAAACUGUUUAACUUGAGUGCAGAAGGGGAGAGUGGAAUUCCAUGUGUAGCGGUGAAAUGCGUAGAUAUAUGGAGGAACACCGGUGGCGAAAGCGGCUCUCUGGUCUGUAACUGACGCUGAGGCUCGAAAGCGUGGGGAGCGAACAGGAUUAGAUACCCUGGUAGUCCACGCCGUAAACGAUGAGUGCUAGGUAUUAGGUCCUUUCCGGGACUUAGUGCCGCAGCUAACGCAUUAAGCACUCCGCCUGGGAGUACGA
rnacentral:rRNA from 1 species